rnacentral:rRNA from 1 species
GAUGAACGCUAGCGGCAGGCCUAACACAUGCAAGUCGAGGGAGAAGCCUUUCGGGGCAGAAACCGGCGCACGGGUGCGUAACGCGUAUGCAACCUACCUUUCACAGGGGGAUAGCCCGAAGAAAUUUGGAUUAAUACCCCAUAAUAUUGUUGGAUGGCAUCAUUUGACAAUUAAAACUGAGGUGGUGGAAGAUGGGCAUGCGUCCUAUUAGCUAGUUGGAGUGGUAACGGCACCCCAAGGCUACGAUAGGUAGGGGUCCUGAGAGGGAGAUCCCCCACACUGGUACUGAGACAGGGACCAGACUCCUACGGGAGGCAGCAGUGAGGAAUAUUGGUCAAUGGUCGGAAGACUGAACCAGCCAUGCCGCGUGCAGGAAGAAUGCCUUAUGGGUUGUAAACUGCUUUUAUAUGGGAAGAAUAAAGGUGUACGUGUACAUUGAUGACGGUACCAUAUGAAU